rnacentral:lncRNA from 1 species
AACAGUCAAGGCACCAAGGCUAGCGAUUCCUCGAACUCCACUCCACCGGCCUCCUAAAAAGCUUGGAGAACCUGAAAAGAUAAUUUGCAUAAAAGCAUGAGCCCAAACACUGGCUCAGUAAGGACAUUAGUCUUAGUCUGACGAACUCACGCCUCUCUCAUCGUGUCACUCACGACCUAUGGGAGUCCUAAAGUCCCUGUCUAUGUUCUUUUCUGUCUAAGGCUUUUACGUCAUAAUUGUAUCAUGUUAUAGUCUUUCAUCGACGUUAAUCACGACAUAUAAUCACGCCACAAAUAAUUAAACAUAUAACUUCACAUAUGAGCACAUAAUAAAAAGUCUGGUUUUGCUUUGGAAGCCAUUUGAAAUUCACUUUGAAAAUCAUGUGGGGAUUCGUUUUCCUUUAGAAAUCACUUCUUAGUUCAUUUCGGAACUUGUCUUGGACAAAAUAUCCCUUUCAACGAAGUUCCCCUUUUUUUAGAACGAAAACCCCUUUUUAAAACUCUUUUUAAAACCAUUUUUCUUUCAAAAUCUUUCGUAUGCAAGUAUGCACAUGUUGGGAUCCCCAUCAAAAUUCUAACGUAAGCAUCGGCAAUAGACGUUUAUAUGCUGAGCCCGGUCAUUCGGUGGGAGCUAACCACCCUAUAGUUCUAUAGUAACUGUUGUUGGGAUACCGGCCCCCCGUAUCCCGUGUCUAUUCAACCGUAGCAACGUUACAAUUUUGAUUCUUCUAUAGUAGACCAUGCAAUACCAAUUAAUGACUCGAUGAAUGCACGCAAGUAAAAGAUCUUAAUAGCAAUACGAUAAUAAUUCCAAUUAUAUCAUUCACGUAUUUCGAAGGAAUUAAAUCACAUAAUUCGGAAGUAAUUUCCGAGGCUAUAGUAAGCACAAGUAGAUCAAACAUUAGUAAUAAAGAACACAUAUACUUGUACACGUAUAUACACAUAGGCACUUAUACGUAUUUAUAUACUUAUACUUAUACAUAUAUACUCUAAUUUAUAACUAUGGGUUAUAAGUUUCCUCAACCCGAAGGGAGUACGCCUAUAACAUCAUAGGUCUAAACUAUCGAUAUACAUAUAAAUAUACUUAUACAUAUACAUACUUAUACCUCACAAGAGUAAAUCACAUAAUUCAAAUACACAUAAUGAAAUUCAACGCUUCUUAUUUAAAGAAUCAUCGGGAAAUCUAAUUCAUUAUAAGUACUAGCACAAAUUAAGUUCAAGAACAACUUAUUAUUCUAAUCAUAGAUUAGUCUAAGAAUAUUUCUUAGAUGUAGCUCAAUACUCAUGGGAAACUUCAUCUAUGUUCAACUAUUAUGUUAAGUUAUGCCUCAAGAGUUUAAACCAUGCUCACAAAGGACCUUUUGAUUCAAGUAGUUUACUCAUAGGAAAAUCGGACAGUUUUGACACUUUAACUUCAAAAAAUACAUUUCUCUUAGACCAUAACUUCAAAAAAUCUGAAACUUUGACACAAUACUCUUGUAUGAGUUUAAAAGACUCCUUUAAAACAGUUUUCCAAAAUAACUAGUAGACUAAGAGAAAUAAGUAAAACAGUGCAGGAGUGUGGUCACACUUUCAUAAACAGAAUCAACCCCUUUAAAAAUACCCAAUAAAUCACCCUUUUGUUAAAACACUGUAAAACUUUUCGGAAAACUGGUUUUAUAAGUUAUAAAUAUAUUCCAAGUGGAAUAAAGGAAAUCGAACUAGGAAAACAUCGAUUUUAAAAGCAAAUGCUCAGCUGACUCAAAAACUGUACAGGUUUAGUAAAUAAUUCAUAUCUUAAUCAUCUGAAAUCCAUUUGAUGAUUAAAAUAUAUCAAAUUAAAGAUAACAGAAAGAUCUAGUUACCCAUAAACUUUCGUGAUUUUAGGAAAACAGGGCAUCUGUGAAACAUGCAGUAAACUCCGAGACUGAAAACUGAAAAUUCAUUAGUGAUCUAUAUCUACAUCUUUGAUCAAAACAGAUCUGGCAGUUUAGGCACUAUAACUUCAGAAAUUCAUAUCUCCUAAACCGUAGAUCCAAACCUGAUGCAAUUUGGAACACAUGUUCAUAUCUAAGUCUAGUUUAUAGGGUUAAAACAGUUUAUGAAGAAACUCACGUAUGUAAGAGAUAUAUUCAAUUUAGUGCAGUGACAUAAGCAGAAAUUUCAGAACAGAUCCACUAACUUUAAAAAUACCAAUUAAUUGAUACCUUUAUCCAAAAAUUACCAAAUUUUUUAGAAUAUCAUUUUCAUAAGUACAUAAUCAUAUUCGAGUGAAAUCACUUCAAUAAGAGUAGUAUAAAAAGCUAUUUAACACAUAAUUCGUGGAUGACUCCAAAACUGUGCAGAUUCAGAAAAUGAUUCAUAACUCACUCAAUACUAAUCCAAUUUAUUCAUAAUUUAUAUCCACAUGAAGCUAACCAAAAGAUCUAGACUACCAUAAAAUUUCAUAAUUUUAUCUUAGGGAUUACCCGAUGAGACAUGCAAUACAAUCAGAAGCUACGAAACUGAAAUUCAAGUAGUGUUCAUCAAGAACUUUAUCUUCUAAAGCCCAAAAUUGAAACCACAAACAUAUAAUUCAUUAAAACUCAUAUAAUUUAUAUUAAUUAGGUUAUUAUUUCAGUAAAGACCAAGGUCCUUACCCAAGAGUAAGAAAUCGAAGAUGAAGGAGUAAGAAAACCAAAGGCUCGGUGGAUUUUCAGCGGGUUUGGCUUGGAUGUUCUUGGAGAGUUUUGGGGCUGAGUGUUGAGAGAUUAUAUGACUAUUUCUUUGACGGUAUUAGGAGAAUCCCGAAAUUAGGGAGAAAGAGGCAUUUUGGGGUGAUUUUAGAAGAGAAAAAGAGAGACUUCUAUGGAGAAUCUUCAAGGCUUUGAAGUGGAAGAUGAACUCUUCCAUUUGGGGAGUGUUUGGACGAGAUAGAGGGGAGAGAAUGAGGGAUUUUGG